rnacentral:rRNA from 1 species
UAAGCGGAGGAAAAGAAACUAACAAGGAUUCCCCUAGUAACUGCGAGUGAAGCGGGAAAAGCUCAAAUUUGGAAUCUGGUGGUCUUUGGCCAUCCGAGUUGUAAUUUAGAGAAGCGUCUUCCGCGCUGGACCGUGCACAAGUCUCCUGGAAUGGAGCGUCAUAGAGGGUGAGAAUCCCGUCUUUGGCAUGGAANNNAGGGCUUCUGUGAUGCGCUCUCGACGAGUCGAGUUGUUUGGGAAUGCAGCUCAAAAUGGGUGGUGAACUCCAUCUAAAGCUAAAUAUUGGCGAGAGACCGAUAGCGAACAAGUACCGUGAGGGAAAGAUGAAAAGCACUUUGGAAAGAGAGUGAAACAGUACGUGAAAUUGUUGAAAGGGAAACGCUUGAAGUCAGUCGCGUCGACCGAGACUCAGCCUUGCCUCGGCUUGGUGUACUUCUCGGCUUGACGGGUCAGCAUCGAUUUCAAUCCUCGGAUAAUGGCAAGGGAAAGGUAGCACCUUUUUAGGUGUGUUAUAGUCCUCUGUCGCAUGCGAGGGUCGGGAUCGAGGAACUCAGCACGCACCUCAGGGUGUCGGGGCCUUGGCCCACGUUUACGUGCUUAGGAUGCUGGCGUAAUGGCUUUAAACGACC